rnacentral:sRNA from 1 species
AUGGCGAAGCACGGGAAAGAAUUGUCAAACGACACCAAAAAGGCUAUCAUAAGUUUAAUUGAAAGUGGUCAUCGAGCAAGUAGUGUUGCAAAAAGCUUAGGAAUAGCUAAAUCCACAAUUUCCAGGCUUUUGAAACGUUGGCGGAUACGUGGAAAUACCGAAAAUGUUCCUCGAAGCGGAAGGAGAAAAACUGUCACCAAACGGGCAGAAAACACUCUGUCACAGAUUGUGAAAACAUCUCACCGUUCAACCCUAAAGGAUAUCACCAAGAAAUUUAACACUCGCACACCUGUUAAAGUGUCUAGACGAACUGUUCAACGAAAAUUGCAUGAACUAGGGUACACCAGACGAUCUGUUAGGAAGAAAAUUGUCAUCAGGGUUGUUAAUCAAAAGAAAAGAGUAGUUUAUUGCAGGAGUAAACUUCAUUGGACUGUGAACAAUCAGUGGAAAAAAGUUAUAUUUACAGAUGAGAUGAUGAUGGUGAUCAAACCUGACGGAACACUUAAAGUUUGGAGGAAGUCAAAUUGGAGACCUGAAUGUCUGGGAUAUGUUGCACAGCGACCGUCCACCAAUCUUAAAAUUAUGGUCUGGGGAUGUAUGACAUAUUAUGGAGUUGGUACUUUAGCUACGAUAAAUGGUAAUAUGAACUCUGUCAAUUAUAUAGAAACACUGGACGAUAAUUUAUGGCAAGUUGUAACCAAACAUUAUGGCAAUGAACCUUAUCUUUUUCAAGAUGAUAAUGCACCCUGUCAUCGGUCAAGGGUUGUAGAAAAAUGGAAAAGGUUAAACCAGAUACCGCAACUUACCUGGCCUGCACAAUCACCAGACUUGAGCCCAAUCGAAAAUGUAUGGCUUCUGAUGAAGAAUAAAAUAAAAAAAGACUUUAUCUGGUUCGUAACGUUGAAGACCUGA